rnacentral:rRNA from 1 species
AGGGUUUGAUUAUGGCUCAGGAUGAACGCUAGCUACAGGCUUAACACAUGCAAGUCGAGGGGCAGCAUGGUCUUAGCUUGCUAAGACUGAUGGCGACCGGCGCACGGGUGAGUAACACGUAUCCAACCUGCCCACCACUUGGGGAUAACCUUGCGAAAGUAAGACUAAUACCCAAUGAUAUCUCUAGAAGACAUCUGAAAGAGAUUAAAGAUUUAUCGGUGAUGGAUGGGGAUGCGUCUGAUUAGCUUGUUGGCGGGGUAACGGCCCACCAAGGCGACGAUCAGUAGGGGUUCUGAGAGGAAGGUCCCCCACAUUGGAACUGAGACACGGUCCAA